AGUGAACGCUGGCGGUAGGCCUAGCACAUGCAAGUCGAACGGCAGCACAGUAAGAGCUUGCUCUUACGGGUGGCGAGUGGCGGACGGGUGAGGAAUACAUCGGAAUCUACUUUUUCGUGGGGGAUAACGUAGGGAAACUUACGCUAAUACCGCAUACGACCUACGGGUGAAAGCAGGGGAUCUUCGGACCUUGCGCGAUUGAAUGAGCCGAUGUCGGAUUAGCUAGUUGGCGGGGUAAAGGCCCACCAAGGCGACGAUCCGUAGCUGGUCUGAGAGGAUGAUCAGCCACACUGGAACUGAGACACGGUCCAGACUCCUACGGGAGGCAGCAGUGGGGAAUAUUGGACAAUGGGCGCAAGCCUGAUCCAGCCAUACCGCGUGGGUGAAGAAGACCUUCGGGUUGUAAAGCCCUUUUGUUGGGAAAGAAAAGCAGCAGGUUAAUACCCCGCUGUUCUGACGGUACCCAAAGAAUAAGCACCGGCUAACUUCGUG
rnacentral:rRNA from 1 species